AGAGUUUGAUCCUGGCUCAGGAUGAACGCUAGCGACAGGCUUAACACAUGCAAGUCGAGGGGCAGCACGGUGUAGCAAUACACUGGUGGCGACCGGCGCACGGGUGAGUAACACGUGUGCAACCAACCCCGUACCGGGAGAUAACCCGCGGAAACGUGGACUAACAUCCCAUGAUACUCGAGAGCCGCAUGGCUCUAGAUUUAAAAUUCCGGUGGUACGGGACGGGCACGCGCGACAUUAGGUAGUUGGCGGGGUAAGGGCCCACCAAGCCGACGAUGUCUAGGGGUUCUGAGAGGAAGGUCCCCCACACUGGAACUGAGACACGGUCCAGACUCCUACGGGAGGCAGCAGUGAGGAAUAUUGGUCAAUGGGCGAGAGCCUGAACCAGCCAAGUCGCGUGAGGGAAGAAUGGUCUAUGGCCUGUAAACCUCUUUUGUCAAGGAAGAAUAAAUCGCACGGGUGCGAUCUUGCCAGUACUUGACGAAUAAGCAUCGGCUAACUCCGUGCCAGCAGCCGCGGUAAUACGGGGGAUGCGAGCGUUAUCCGGAUUUAUUGGGUUUAAAGGGCGCGUAGGCGGGACGUCAAGUCAGCGGUAAAAGACUGCAGCUAAACUGUAGCACGCCGUUGAAACUGGCGCCCUCGAGACGAGACGAGGGAGGCGGAACAAGUGAAGUAGCGGUGAAAUGCAUAGAUAUCACUUGGAACCCCGAUAGCGAAGGCAGCUUCCCAGGCUCGUUCUGACGCUGAUGCGCGAGAGCGUGGGUAGCGAACAGGAUUAGAUACCCUGGUAGUCCACGCCGUAAACGAUGCUCACUGGAUCUUGGCGAUACACUGCCAGGGUUCAAGCGAAAGUAUUAAGUGAGCCACCUGGGGAGUACGUCGGCAACGAUGAAACUCAAAGGAAUUGACGGGGGCCCGCACAAGCGGAGGAACAUGUGGUUUAAUUCGAUGAUACGCGAGGAACC
rnacentral:rRNA from 1 species